GACGAACGCUGGCGGCGUGCUUAACACAUGCAAGUCGAGCGGUAAGGCCCUUUCGGGGGUACACGAGCGGCGAACGGGUGAGUAACACGUGGGUGACCUGCCCUUAGCUCUGGGAUAAGCCUGGGAAACUGGGUCUAAUACCGGAUAUGACUCCAUGACGCAUGUUGUGGGGUGGAAAGCCUUGUGCGGCUAGGGAUGGCCCGCGGCUAUCGGCUUGUUGGUGGGGUGAUGGCCUACCAAGGCGACGACGGGUAGCCGGCCUGAGAGGGCGACCGGCCACACUGGGACUGAGACACGGCCCAGACUCCUACGGGAGGCAGCAGUGGGGAAGUCUUGCGCAAUGGGCGAAAGCCUGACGCAGCGACGCCGCGUGAGGGAUGACGGCC
rnacentral:rRNA from 1 species